CGAAUUUCAUCAUUUUUCAUCAUAUUUCAUCGAUUUCAACGCAUCCCAACAAGAACCCCGGAUGGAAAAUUAGGCGGCAUCCUGUACUACCAUCCAACCCCUCCCUAUGCAAACAUAUUGAUUGGCCGCCAACCGCUCUUUCACCCACAAAUACAAAGAGCAAGAAAAAAAAAACGAAUCAAGAGGGUAGACGGUAGAAAAUGUUAACGUUUUCCUCUGCCACUUUUCUUUUGAGGGAGCGGUGAAGAUGUGAAAUAUAUGUCAUUCAUUUAUGCA